rnacentral:rRNA from 1 species
ACAAGCAGUGGAGUAGUGUGGUUUAAUUCGAAGCAACGCGAAGAACCUUACCAGGGCUUGACAUCCCUUGAAGCAGCUAGAGAUAGCUGUGUCCUUCGGGGCAAGGAGACAGGUGGUGCAUGGUUGUCGUCAGCUCGUGUCGUGAGAUGUUGGGUUAAGUCCCGCAACGAGCGCAACCCCUGUGGUUAGUUGCCAGCAAGUAGCGUUGGGCACUCUAGCCAGACUGCCGGUGAUAAAUCGGAGGAAGGUGGGGACGACGUCAAAUCAUCAUGCCCUCUAUGUCCUGGGCUACACACGUACUACAAUGGCCGUUACAACGGGAAGCGAAGGAGCAAUCCGGAGCAAAUCCCUUAAAGGCGGUCCCAGUUCAGAUUGUGGGCUGAAACUCGCCCACAUGAAGGCGGAAUUGCUAGUAAUUGCAGAUCAGCAUGCUGCAGUGAAUACGUUCCCGGGCCUU